CAACAGCCCAGAUGGAAGGGAGAAGCACCAGACAGCUGGAAAAUAA
ensembl:sRNA